GUGCUUGCUUCGGCAGCACAUACACUAAAAUUGGAACGAUACAGAGAAGAUUAGCAUGGCCCCUGUGUAAGGAUGACACGCAAAAACACAUGAACAAAAACAGAGCCAG